GAGGGUGAUCCCCCACACUGGUACUGAGACACGGACCAGACUCNUACGGGAGGCAGCAGUGAGGAAUAUUGGUCAAUGGGCGAAAGCCUGAACCAGCCAUCCCGCGUGCAGGAAGACGGCCCUAUGGGUUGUAAACUGCUUUUCCAGGAGGAGAAACUCUCGUACGUGAUACGGGAUUGACGGUACCCUGGGAAUAAGCAUCGGCUAACUCCGUGCCAGCAGCCGCGGUAAUACGGAGGAUGCAAGCGUUAUCCGGAUUCAUUGGGUUUAAAGGGUGCGUAGGCGGACUAUUAAGUCAGUGGUGAAAUCCUGCAGCUUAACUGCAGAACUGCCGUUGAUACUGAUAGUCUUGAGUUUGGUUAAGGUAGGCGGAAUGUGUAAUGUAGCGGUGAAAUGCUUAGAUAUUACACAGAACACCGAUUGCGUAGGCAGCUUACUGAGCCGACACUGACGCUGAGGCACGAAAGCGUGGGGAUCGAACAGGAUUAGAUACCCUGGUAGUCCACGCCGUAAACGAUGAUUACUCGUUGUUGGCGAUACACUGUCAGCGGCUAAGCAAAAGCAAUAAGUAAUCCACCUGGGGAGUACGGCCGCAAGGCUGAAACUUAAAUGAAUUGACGG
rnacentral:rRNA from 1 species